UUUUACCACUUUGGAAGUGUCUCUCUCGCAAACUAUUCAGUUUAGAAAAAAAUGAUAUUAGGAACCUCAAUAUCAUUUUUGAAGACCUAUCCAUAGAAACCCCACACGUAUGGGUUUGUUGAAAAAAAUUUUUUUGAGGUAUUUUGACGUAUUAAAAAAAAACUACUUACUAGAUCUCGUCCAAACCAAUUUUCGGUGGAAGUUUGCAUGGUAAUGUACAUCAUAUAUUUUUUUUAGUUUUAUCAUUCUCUUAUUUUAGAAGUUACAGGGGGGGACACACAUUUUACCACUUUGGAAGUGUCUAUCGCGCCAACUAUUCAGUUUAGAAAAAAAUGAUAUUAGAAACCUCAAUAUCAUUUU